CGAGGACGACGCUGGCGGCGCGCCUAACACAUGCAAGUCGAACGAGAGAUGAGGAGCUUGCUCUUCAAAUCGAGUGGCGAACGGGUGAGUAACGCGUGAGGAACCUGCCUCAAAGAGGGGGACAACAGUUGGAAACGACUGCUAAUACCGCAUAAGCCCACGGCUCGGCAUCGAGCAGGAGGGAAAAGGAGCAAUCCGCUUUGAGAUGGCCUCGCGUCCGAUUAGCUAGUUGGUGAGGUAACGGCCCACCAAGGCGACGAUCGGUAGCCGGACUGAGAGGUUGAACGGCCACAUUGGGACUGAGACACGGCCCAGACUCCUACGGGAGGCAGCAGGUGGGGAAUAUUGCACAAUGGGGAAACCCUGAUGCAGCGACGCCGCGUGGAGGAAGAAGGUCUUCGGAUUGUAAACUCCUGUUGUUGAGGAAGAUAAUGACGGUACUCAACAAGGAAGUGACGGCUAACUACGUG
rnacentral:rRNA from 1 species